AAUAGAUACCCGGGUAGUCCACGCCGUAAACGAUGAAUGCUAGGUGUUAGGGGUUUCGAUACCCUUGGUGCCGAAGUUAACACAUUAAGCAUUCCGCCUGGGGAGUACGGCCGCAAGGCUGAAACUCAAAGGAAUUGACGGGGACCCGCACAAGCAGUGGAGUAUGUGGUUUAAUUCGAAGCAACGCGAAGAACCUUACCAGGUCUUGACAUCCCCCUGACCGGCGCAGAGAUGUGCCUUUCCUUCGGGACAGGGGAGACAGGUGGUGCAUGGUUGUCGUCAGCUCGUGUCGUGAGAUGUUGGGUUAAGUCCCGCAACGAGCGCAACCCUUGACUUUAGUUGCCAGCAGGUAAGGCUGGGCACUCUAGAGUGACUGCCGGUGACAAACCGGAGGAAGGUGGGGAUGACGUCAAAUCAUCAUGCCCCUUAUGACCUGGGCUACACACGUACUACAAUGGCCGGUACAACGGGAAGCGAAGGAGCGAUCUGGAGCGAAUCCUUUAAAGCCGGUCUCAGUUCGGAUUGCAGGCUACAACUCGCCUGC
rnacentral:rRNA from 1 species